GGUUGUGGCUCAGUGGUAGAGCAUUUGCCUAGCAGGUACAAGGCCCUGGGUUUGAUCCUCAGCACCA
rnacentral:tRNA from 1 species